rnacentral:rRNA from 1 species
UAACUGUUCACCCAGUGACGGUAUUUAACCAGAAAGCCACGGCUAACUACGUGCCAGCAGCCGCGGUAAUACGUAGGUGGCAAGCGUUAUCCGGAUUUAUUGGGCGUAAAGCGAGCGCAGGCGGUCUUUUAAGUCUAAUGUGAAAGCCUUCGGCUCAACCGAAGAAGUGCAUUGGAAACUGGGAGACUUGAGUGCAGAAGAGGACAGUGGAACUCCAUGUGUAGCGGUGAAAUGCGUAGAUAUAUGGAAGAACACCAGUGGCGAAGGCGGCUGUCUGGUCUGUAACUGACGCUGAGGCUCGAAAGCAUGGGUAGCGAACAGGAUUAGAUACCCUGGUAGUCCAUGCCGUAAACGAUGAUUACUAAGUGUUGGAGGGUUUCCGCCCUUCAGUGCUGCAGCUAACGCAUUAAGUAAUCCGCCUGGGGAGUACGACCGCAAGGUUGAAACUCAAAAGAAUUGACGGGGGCCCGCACAAGCGGUGGAGCAUGUGGUUUAAUUCGAAGCUACGCGAAGAACCUUACCAGGUCUUGACAUCUUCUGCCAACCUAAGAGAUUAGGCGUUCCCUUCGGGGACAGAAUGACAGGUGGUGCAUGGUUGUCGUCAGCUCGUGUCGUGAGAUGUUGGGUUAAGUCCCGCAACGAGCGCAACCCUUAUUACUAGUUGCCAGCAUUCAGUUGGGCACUCUAGUGAGACUGCCGGUGACAAACCGGAGGAAGGUGGGGACGACGUCAAAUCAUCAUGCCCCUUAUGACCUGGGCUACACACGUGCUACAAUGGAUGGUACAACGAGUCGCGAAACCGCGAGGUUUAGCUAAUCUCUUAAAACCAUUCUCAGUUCGGACUGUAGGCUGCAACUCGCCUACACGAAGUCGGAAUCGCUAGUAAUCGCGGAUCAGCAUGCCGCGGUGAAUACGUUCCCGGGCCUUGUACACACCGCCCGUCACACCAUGAGAGUUUGUAACACCCAAAGCCGGUGGGGUAACC